AACGAACGUUGGCGGCGUGGAUUAGGCAUGCAAGUCGAACGAGAACCGGGUAGCAAUACCCGGGGAAAGUGGCGAAAGGGGCAGUAAGGCGUGGGUAACCUACCCUGGGGUUGGGCAUAGCCGGUCUAACGACCGGGUAAUUCCCAGCGACGUCAUUAGGGGGCAUCUCCGGAUGACCAAAGAUUUAUCGCCCCGGGAGGGGCCCACGUGAUAUUAGCUUGUUGGUGAGGUAACGGCUCACCAAGGCAAAGAUGUCUAGCGGGUGUGAGAGCACGACCCGCGCCACUGGCACUGAGACACUGGCCAGACUCCUACGGGAGGCUGCAGUCGAGGAUCUUCGGCAAUGGGCGCAAGCCUGACCGAGCGACGCCGCGUGUGCGAUGAAGGCCUUCGGGUUGUAAAGCACUGUCGAGGGGGAGGAAGCCGAAAGGUUGACCUAUCCCUGGAGGAAGCACGGGCUAAGUUCGUGCCAGCCGCCGCGGUAAGAC
rnacentral:rRNA from 1 species